rnacentral:rRNA from 1 species
UUGGAGGGCAAGUCUGGUGCCAGCAGCCGCGGUAAUUCCAGCUCCAAUAGCGUAUAUUAAAGUUGUUGCAGUUAAAAAGCUCGUAGUUGAAUUUCGGGGUCAGUAGGUCGGUCGUGCCACUGGUAUGAACUGGUUUUACUGAUUCCUCCCUCUUGAAGAACUGUAAUGCCAUUAAUUUGGUGUUGCAGGGAAUCAGGACUGUUACUUUGAAAAAAUUAGAGUGUUUAAAGCAGGCUUUAGCUUGAAUACAUUAGCAUGGAAUAAUGAAAUAAGACGUUUGAUCCUAUUUUGUUGGUUUCUAGGAUUGACGUAAUGAUUAAUAGGGAUAGUUGGGGGCAUUAGUAUUCAAUUGUCAGAGGUGAAAUUCUUGGAUUUAUUGAAGACUAACUUCUGCGAAAGCAUUUGCCAAGGAUGUUUUCAUUAAUCAAGGACGAAAGUUAGGGGAUCGAAGACGAUCAGAUACCGUCGUAGUCUUAACCAUAAACUAUGCCGACUAGGGAUCGGACGAUGUUAAUUUUUUGAUGACUCGUUCGGCGCCUUACGGGAAAC